GUGACAGAAGAGAGUGAGCACACGUGGUCGCUUCCCUGCAUGUAUUUCUCGUGCUUGGAGCUACGCGUGCUCACUUCUCUUCCUGUCAC
rnacentral:pre_miRNA from 1 species